UCCGCAUAUCUUUGUUUUUGCUGCAUUUAAACAAAACUUCUUUUUGACUUGUCAAUUUAGUAUAACAAGGAGAGGUUGAGACUAGUGGUAGCAGUAAAAUUUGAGAUGCUGGAUAUAUGGAAAUGGUUUUUUAGUUUCUUAGUUGAACGAGUGCACUUCACCACUGGUAACAGAGGAUUCAGGAAUCUAUUUAAGUUAGGAAAGCUAGCGAGAAGAGGCCGCAAAAUCACGGGGAGGAUAAUUCCUCUCCUAAGCUGUAAAGAUUCCAACAAAUUUUUCGUUCAUUCAUCUUUUUGCAAUGGAGAUCUGCGAAUCCUCUGAGCGAACUGGAAAUUCUGUUCCCACCACGCUUGUGAAUCACGAUUCGGAGGAGGUGGAUCGUAUCAUGAAUCAGGCAAGACUUGGUCACUUGUUAAGGAAAGCAACUGUCGAGAGAUGUAAAGGUCAUCAGUCUAGUACAACAGAUAGUUCUGGCAGAAUCUCUAGGAUACCUUGUAUACCUGUCACAACGUCAAUCGAUCGUUAUAAAAACUGGCCGCUGCAGAAGCAUGAUGAGUGUUGGGUUUCGAGGAUACGUAACAUCAUGCUCCUUUUCGGCCAAGGGGAAAAACAACAUUUUGGCACCGGCACCGGCACCAUUGAGGCUCAUGU